UUGAACGCUGGCGGCAGGCCUAACACAUGCAAGUCGAGCGGAUGAAGGGAGCUUGCUCCUGGAUUCAGCGGCGGACGGGUGAGUAAUGCCUAGGAAUCUGCCUGGUAGUGGGGGAUAACGUCCGGAAACGGGCGCUAAUACCGCAUACGUCCUGAGGGAGAAAGUGGGGGAUCUUCGGACCUCACGCUAUCAGAUGAGCCUAGGUCGGAUUAGCUAGUUGGUGGGGUAAAGGCCUACCAAGGCGACGAUCCGUAACUGGUCUGAGAGGAUGAUCAGUCACACUGGAACUGAGACACGGUCCAGACUCCUACGGGAGGCAGCAGUGGGUAAUAUUGGACAAUGGGCGAAAGCCUGAUCCAGCCAUGCCGCGUGUGUGAAGAAGGUCUUCGGAUUGUAAAGCACUUUAAGUUGGGAGGAAGGGCAGUAAGUUAAUACCUUGCUGUUUUGACGUUACCAACAGAAUAAGCACCGGCUAACUUCGUG
rnacentral:rRNA from 1 species